rnacentral:rRNA from 1 species
CAGCCGCCGCGGGAAUACGUAGGGUCCGAGCGUUGUCCGGAAUUAUUGGGCGUAAAGGGCUCGUAGGCGGUUUGUUGCGUCGGGAGUGAAAACCUACAGCUUAACUGUGGGCUUGCUUUCGAUACGGGCAGACUUGAGGCAUUCAGGGGAGAACGGAAUUCCUGGUGUAGCGGUGAAAUGCGCAGAUAUCAGGAGGAACACCGGUGGCGAAGGCGGUUCUCUGGGAAUGUUCUGACGCUGAGGAGCGAAAGUGUGGGGAGCGAACAGGAUUAGAUACCCGAGUAGUCCCUGUCUCUUAUAC